GGACAGUUCAUUCUUGUAGUAUUAAGUUUCUUUUUGUCCACUGGCCUGUAUUCCAAAGGAAGUAAAGCCUCCAUACAGAGAAUCAGAAGUUAUCUCCCUUCCACUGUACUUUACAUCAGAAAGAGAUCGUAUUGUCACAUCCCUAGACAUUCCUAGUGGUGGAAAUACUGACCACUGGCUGCAGUGUGGAGCUGCAUUUUUUCUGAAAAAUAGUUAAUUUCACUGUGAUAAUUCAAGUUAGUCUCUAGCUUGUUUUUUGUGCUAGCAGUUGAAGUGGCACUAAAGUUUUAUACUUAAUUUAUUCCUUCAUAGUUUGGGGCACAAUGAUUUUACAUGUUAUACCAAGUUUUUCAUGAUAUUAAUUCAACAGUAAAGAAAAUUAUAUAACUGGUGUUGUAAGAAAUAAUCAAAAAUAUACAUUGAGGCAUAUAAAUCAUGAUGUCAUUUGUUAAUAUUCUCGAGUAACAAACCUAACAUUCACUACUUAUUACACGCUCAUUAGUUGUGACGGUUUGUCCUAACAACAUACGUAGAAGUUCUAAAUUGGAUCUAAUUAUAAAAGCUGUUAAGUUUUCAGAUAAAUUGUAUAGUUACAAUACUCAUCAAUACAUUCAGCUAAUUGAUAAGUGUUGUUUUUGAUUGUAAUAUUCAUCUAAAAACAAUUAAUUCUUAAACUUACAUUUGAGAUGAAUGCUGUUUUUAGGAAUUAUUGAUAAUUUAACAUCACCAAUUAGGGGUAUCGUAGAGUAAUCACAAUGAAAUUUGAUCUGUAGCAUAUUACUGGAUACUGGAAGAUGAUAAUUAAUAUAUAUAUAUUACUUCACUGGAGUAUGUUGUUCCUACUAGUCAAUUAUUUCCCAUCAAGCAAAUUGAGAGAAAAAAUGUAAUUAUGUAGUUGAAAUAAAAUAUUAAGAUGUUC